rnacentral:rRNA from 1 species
AGAGUUUGAUCAUGGCUCAGGAUGAACGCUGACAGAAUGCUUAACACAUGCAAGUCGACUGGAAUUCUUCUUCGGAAGAUAGUACGGUGGCGGACGGGUGAGUAACGCGUAAAGAAUUUACCCUUCAGACUGGGACAACUAACCGAAAGGUUAGCUAAUACCAGAUAUUAUGAGACCUUGGCAUCAAGGACUUAUGAAAGCUAUAUGCGCUGAAGGAGAACUUUGCGUCCCAUUAGGUAGUUGGUAGGGUAAUGGCCUACCAAGCCGACGAUGGGUAGCCGGCCUGAGAGGGUGAACGGCCACAAGGGGACUGAGACACGGCCCUUACUCCUACGGGAGGCAGCAGUGGGGAAUAUUGGACAAUGGACCAAAAGUCUGAUCCAGCAAUUCUGUGUGCACGAUGAAGGUCUUCGGAUUGUAAAGUGCUUUCAGGUGGGAAGAAGAAAGUGACGGUACCACCAGAAGAAGCGACGGCUAAAUACGUGCCAGCAGCCGCGGUAAUACGUAUGUCGCAAGCGUUAUCCGGAAUUAUUGGGCGUAAAGCGAGUCUAGGCGGCUUGUUAAGUCAGAUGUGAAAAUGCGGGGCUCAACUCCGUAUUGCGUUUGAAACUGGCAGGCUAGAGUACUGGAGAGGUGGGCGGAACUACAAGUGUAGAGGUGAAAUUCGUAGAUAUUUGUAGGAAUGCCGAUAGUGAAGACAGCUCACUGGACAGAUACUGACGCUAAAGCUCGAAAGCGUGGGGAGCGAACAGGAUUAGAUACCCUGGUAGUCCACGCCGUAAACGAUGUUCACUGGGUGUAGGGGGUCGAACCUCUGUGCCGAAGCUAACGCGAUAAGUGAACCGCCUGGGGAGUACGCACGCAAGUGUGAAACUCAAAGGAAUUGACGGG